rnacentral:lncRNA from 1 species
GCAACAGCAACAACCAGGCCCAGUCGAAGAGGGCGCCGCUUCCUCACAAGUUCCAUGAGAUAGUCGCGCAGGCGGCGACGACGACGACGGGCGGCACUCCUGCAGCUGCCGCCGAACUGGAGGAUCAGGUGUACAGCACGGGGGUCUACCUUGCUGGCAAAACGAAGGUAAGUUUCUGUUUCAGGAUUCGUCAAAAAAAAAAAGUUUGUUUCAGGCACGAACAAGUAUACACCUGAACCUUUGAUGCUUACUACUGUAGUAGGAGUCAGUAGAUCGCUACUGAUGCAAUAUGCUCUGAUUGAUGGUGAUGCAGAAGUACUGGGUGCACGAGAAAACCAGGUGCAACUGCUUCAUGCUGUUCGCUAGGGCACUGUCCAUCACUUGGAGCGAUGAUCCC